CCUACGGGGGGCAGCAGUGGGGAAUAUUGGACAAUGGGGGCAACCCUGAUCCAGCCAUGCCGCGUGUGUGAAGAAGGCCCUCGGGUUGUAAAGCACUUUCAGUGAGGAAGAACGCCUGGUGGUUAAAACCCAUCAGGAAAGACAUCACUCACAGAAGAAGCACCGGCUAACUCCGUGCCAGCAGCCGCGGUAAUACGGAGGGUGCGAGCGUUAAUCGGAAUUACUGGGCGUAAAGCGCGCGUAGGUGGCUUGAUAAGCCGGUUGUGAAAGCCCCGGGCUCAACCUGGGAACGGCAUCCGGAACUGUCAAGCUAGAGUGCAGGAGAGGAAGGUAGAAUUCCCGGUGUAGCGGUGAAAUGCGUAGAGAUCGGGAGGAAUACCAGUGGCGAAGGCGGCCUUCUGGACUGACACUGACACUGAGGUGCGAAAGCGUGGGUAGCAAACAGGAUUAGAUACCCCAGUAGUC
rnacentral:rRNA from 1 species